GGCUGCUACCUGGCAUCUCGAUCCCCUUCCGAUCUGGGCGGCGACAGGCAAAAUCGACGGGGCCUCGCGCGGCGGUGGCCCGGACCUGAAGGCAGCUGCAGCAAAAUCGAAGGCCUGGCUCGGAGGCAGCCCAGACCUGGGCAGCGGGGGUAGCAGAGAUCAAGGGCCGCGGGCCUAAUCGCGCCCAGGAAUACCCCUAAGAAGAUGGACUCUCUGGCGCCGGGGCGGACGGUGCCGCCGACGCCAUCGAUCACGAAUUCUCCACCACCGCCUUUGAUCCCCUUCGAGACGCCACCUCGCCUGCCGCGUCGCGGCUGCCGUCUCGCUCGACGUGUUUCUCGAUUGUGCCCGGCCGUGGCACUGGGCCACAUGCGCAAUUGGAGGGGAAGAGACGAAGAGGAGGAUGGUCGUGGAAAGCGCCGGCGCCAUGGGGAUCGAGAGCGAGGAGAGGAAGCAACCGAGGGCUGCGUCGACACCUUGCUACAGCCUGCAGCUGGCGGUGUCUGGCUCAGUCGCUGUUUCGUAGAUGUCGUCGGUCCAGAGUGGCACGGUGUGCACCAACCCUCUUUGGCAAGCCGAUGAAUAUUGAGGAGUACAAGAGUGUUAUCAGGUGCUGCGUGCUGGACAAGGACAUGGAGAAUUUCCCGCACGACGACCUGACAGAGAUCGGCAGAGAGGCCUCAACAUGAGCGGAGGCCAGAAGUAGAUGAUUCAGCUUGCAAUGAUUGUCCACAUCAAUGCAAAUAUCUACUGUAUAUCGCUGCAGCCCUUUUCAGUGUCAGCAUCCUUCUCAUUCUCAAUUCAGCGGCUGUAGCUUAAUUAUGGAAUGAUCGUUUCGUCAUGGAUGUGCCAGUAACUUUGUGUUUGAAGGACUGCGUCAUGGCGUCCCUUGAGGACAAGGGUCAUUUUUGUUACACAUCAGGUUGAUUUUUUCUCCGAGGUUGAUUCGAUUUUGGUCUUGGAGAAGAGGGCGAUAAUUCAGGAGGGAACUUCUGAGGAUCUUCGGUAAUUUUGUUAGAACUUGCAUUUUGAACUGGUAAUGUUUGGAGGAUUGUGUAUAGCCAGCUAGCUGCAAUACACGAUUAGCGAAGGAAAAAAACUGUUGUUUAGUCCAUAUAACUGCAUCUGUAAAUAGUCUUCGGACCAGUACUCAUCAAUUAGCUCAAAUAUCAGGAACAUUGACCAGAUCUCCUCUCAAGUGCACCUAACCCAGUACUAUAAUCAUCAUGUACAAGCUUAUGUGCUAGCAAAUGCAAAAUUAUGACCUCCAGCAGGCUUGCACCGAUGAUGUCAAUAACUGAUUAAAGAAGACCUUUUAUAGGCCUGGAACUGAAGUUCACUUCAGUGUAACCUAUUUUCACAUUUUCUGACUAUUUAAUCAUUUUGUACUUCUCUGUGCAAUAUUAUACCAAUGAUACUCUAAUUUUCAGCCACAAAAUAGAUUGGGUGGCAUCUUCACGGUUAGAUUCCAGGGAGGAUGUAAAUCACUUUUGAUUAAUAAAAGUAAGAAUAUGAGAAAAAAUCAACAACAUGUGGUGACCAACAGAGGAGCUCAGCGACGAGUACAUAGUUCUGCGAGAAGACAAUAUAUGAUUCACUCCUCCAGCCACGUGCUUCGAAGUCCAAGUGAAUGGAAACACCACUGCGCCCCAUAUGUUCUCCGCCGUCUCCAUCUUGUCAACACCUGCUCUCUCUGCAGAAGAAAAGCCUCGGUGCAGUAGCCCACAUUAUACUCCUUUGACGACAGAGAUGCUCGAGCGUUGGACUGAGAGGGGGGCCGGUGGGUGUCGCCGCAGGCCCAGUCGCGUCCCCGCUGCUCCUAGCCAUUCACCUACAGCGUGAGUUUGCGGGAGCAUGCUAUCGCAAGAAGCGGUUCAUUGCGCUGCUCAAGCCGUGGUCGUUGAUUUUCCUGCUGCUGAAAUCAUAGUAUUUCCCUGGCAAACGCCAUCCAUUCCAUGGCAAUUGCCUAAAGAAAAGUGAAUCUCGCCAUGGUGGUGACCUGCUUGAUUAGUACAAACAGAUUUUGUAUCGGACAUGGAGGAGCAGCAGGGCCUCAAGUGAGCAACCAGUUUGCAAGAAGGACAUUAAUUUUUUAAACAGGGGUCAAGUAGAUUGGAAGACUUCAUUGUGGUUGCGAUGAUGAUGCAUGAGUUACUGGUGAAGGAGUGUAAAUAAAUAAAUCUCCGGCUGCGAAGGUGAUGGAUGAUUUACUUGUAAAGCAGCUGACAUCACAAUGAUGGGGCGGCGGACAAAGAGGCACGUAAGAGAAAAGAUGACCGGUGUGGGUGAGAACUCACACAAGAUGAUGGCAGAAUCCAAAGGGGCCUGUGCGUGAAAGGGUCUUGUCACUCUUAUUUUGAUCAGUCUCUAAGAAAUAUUUUUGUUGCCCCUUGCACGACAUUGUUUCUGUUUUCGAGCUCUUGGUACAUGGUUAUCCUUGAUCCUUGUAUUCCUCACAAUGUUAAACAGUUAGCCAAUAGAUACUCCAUUGCACCGCACAGGCAUCUUCCUAUAAUUCUACAUGUCCGAACAAAUUAGUUGGCUUGAUUCUUUCCUUAUUAUCCUUGUGUUUGUUGUAGCGGAAUGUUAAACUUAGGAGAAUAAACUUUGUUAAGUUACUCUUCCUUUUUGUAUUAGUAUAAUCUUGA